rnacentral:rRNA from 1 species
AGGUAAGCUACUAAGAGCGAAUGGUGGAUGCCUUGGUUGGUAGAGGCGAUGAAAGACGUGCUAGACUGCGAUAAGUCUCGGGGAGUUGUCAAGGAGCUUUGAUCCGGGAAUUUCUGAAUGGGGAAACCCAGUAUAUAGUGAUAUAUACUACCUAUAUGGAGCAAACGUGGGGAAUUGAAACAUCUUAGUACCCACAGGAAAAGAAAUCAAAUGAGAUUACGAAAGUAGCGGCGAGCGAAAUCGUAAGAGGGCAAACCACUAGUUUACUAGUGGGGUUGUAGGACUGUAACAUAGACUAAAAAGAGUUAAUAGAAUAAUCUGGAAAGUUUAAGCAUAGAGGGUGAUACUCCCGUAUAUGAAAACUCUUUUUUACUUAACAGUAUCCUGAGUAGGGCGAGGCACGUGAAACCUUGUCUGAAUCUGGGAAGACCACUUUCCAACCCUAAAUACUACUACCAAACCGAUAGUGAACAAGUACCGUGAGGGAAAGGUGAAAAGAACGGGGGUGACCCGAGUGAAAUAGAACCUGAAACCAUUUGCUUACAAUCAUUCAGAGCACGAUUCUUUAUGACGUGUGAUGGACUGCCUUUUGCAUAAUGAGCCUGCGAGUUGUGAUAUCUGGCAAGGUUAAGGAAAUCCGGAGCCGUAGCGAAAGCAAGUCUUAAUAGGGCGUUUAGUCAGAUAUUGCAGACCCGAAACGAAGUGAUCUAUCCAUGAGCAGGUUGAAACCGGUGUAAGAGCCGGCGGAGGACCGAACCCGCUGACGUUGAAAAGUCUUGGGAUGACUUGUGGAUAGGGGUGAAAGGCCAAUCAAACUUCGUGAUAGCUGGUUCUCUCCGAAAUAUAUUUAGGUAUAGCGUUAUGUAGUAAUUAGAGGGGGUAGAGCACUGAAUGGGCUAGGGCAUACACCAAUGUACCAAACCCUAUCAAACUCCGAAUACCUUUAGUGUAAUCAUAGCAGUCAGGCGGCGAGUGAUAAAAUCCGUCGUCAAAAGGGGAACAACCCAGACUACCGACUAAGGUCCCAAAAUCUUAUUUAAGUGGAAAACGAUGUGAAGUUACUUAAACAACCAGGAGGUUGGCUUAGAAGCAGCCAUCCUUUAAAGAUAGCGUAAUAGCUCACUGGUCUAGUGAUUUUGCGCGGAAAAUAUAACGGGGCUAAAAUAAGUACCGAAGUCGUAGACUUAGUUUUACUAAGUGGUAGGAGAGCGUUGUAUUUAGCGUUGAAGAUGUACCGGUAAGGAGCGUUGGAGCAAAUACAAGUGAGCAUGCAGGCAUGAGUAGCGUUAAAUCAGGUGAGAAUCCUGAUCGCCGAAAACCCAAGGUUUCCUACGCGAUGCUCGUCAUCGUAGGGUUAGUCGGGUCCUAAGCAAAGUCCGAAAGGGGUAUGCGAUGGAAAAUUGGUUAAUAUUCCAAUACCAAUUAUUAUGUGCGAUGGAAGGACGCUUAAAGUUAGUGGAGCUAACUGAUGGAAUAGUUAGUCUAAGGUCGUAGGUUGAGUUAUAGGCAAAUCCGUAACUCUUUAUCCGAAAGCUUAAAGGCUUACAAAGCUCUUCGGAGUAGCGUAAGAAUCCAUGAUACUAUAGAGCCAAGAAAAGUUUCUAAGUUUAGUAAUAAUUGCCCGUACCGUAAACCGACACAGGUGGGUGGGAUGAGUAUUCUAAGGCGCGUGGAAGAACUCUCUUUAAGGAACUCUGCAAAAUAGCACCGUAUCUUCGGUAUAAGGUGUGCCUACCAGGGUGCAAGCCCUAGAGGUUACAACAAAGAGUCCCUCCCGACUGUUUACCAAAAACACAGCACUCUGCUAACACGUAAGUGGAUGUAUAGGGUGUGACGCCUGCCCGGUGCUCGAAGGUUAAUUGAUGGAGUUAGCAUUAGCAAAGCUCUUGAUCGAAGCCCGAGUAAACGGCGGCCGUAACUAUAACGGUCCUAAGGUAGCGAAAUUCCUUGUCGGUUAAAUACCGACCUGCAUGAAUGGCGUAACGAGAUGGGAGCUGUCUCAAAGAGGGAUCCAGUGAAAUUGUAGUGGAGGUGAAAAUUCCUCCUACCCGCGGCAAGACGGAAAGACCCCGUGGACCUUUACUAUAGCUUGACACUGCUACUUGGAUAAAGAUGUGCAGGAUAGGUGGGAGAUUAUGAUCUAUAGAUGCUAGUCUAUAAGGAGUCAUCCUUGAGAUACCACUCUUCUUUAUUCGGGUAGCUAACUAGCCUAAGUUAUCCUUAGGUAGGACAAUGUCUGGUGGGUAGUUUGACUGGGGCGGUCGCCUCCCAAAUAAUAACGGAGGCUUACAAAGGUUGGUUCAAAACGGUUGGAAAUCGUUUGUAGAGUAUAAAGGCAAAAACCAGCUUAACUGCGACACCGACAAGUGGAGCAGAGACGAAAGUCGGUCUUAGUGAUCCGGUGGUUCUGUGUGGAAGGGCCAUCGCUCAAAGGAUAAAAGGUACCCCGGGGAUAACAGGCUGAUCUCCCCCAAGAGCUCACAUCGACGGGGAGGUUUGGCACCUCGAUGUCGGCUCAUCGCAUCCUGGGGCUGGAGCAGGUCCCAAGGGUAUGGCUGUUCGCCAUUUAAAGCGGUACGCGAGCUGGGUUCAGAACGUCGUGAGACAGUUCGGUCCCUAUCUGCCGUGGGCGUAAGAAGAUUGAGGAGAGUUGACCCUAGUACGAGAGGACCGGGUUGAACCAACCACUGGUGUAUAAGUUGUCCUGCCAAGGGCACCGCUUAGUAGCUAAGUUGGGAUGUGAUAAGAGCUGAAAGCAUCUAAGCUCGAAGCCAACUCCAAGAUUAAUCUUCUUUUAAGAGCUCUUAUAGACUAUAAGUUUGAUAGGCUGGGUGUGUAAUUGAUGUAAGUCAUUUAGCUGACCAGUACUAAUAGCUCGUUUGCUUAUCUAU